AAAACUCUCAGCUCUUCCAGCUCUGCCUGCCUGAACGCUGCCAUGCUUCCUGCCUAGAUAAUAACGGAUUGAACCUCUAAACCUGUAAGCUAGCCCCAAUUAAAUGUUGUCAAUUAUUAGAAUUGACUUGGUCAUGGUGUCUCUUCAUAGCAAUGGAAACCUUAGCUAAGACAGAAGUUGGUACAAGAAUUACAAAUUGCUAGGAUAGCCCUGACCAUGCAUGCAUUUUUUUAAUUUUUAUUUUUUGAGAAUGUGAAUUUUGGGACUUUGGAAAGCAGUGAAAUACCUUAAGUAUUACUGGACCAUCCUUGUAGGAAUAUGAAAGACAUUGGUGCUGAGGGUGAUUUGAACUGUGCAGACCUGGACCAAUAAGUUUCAGUGGAGAAGAAUCUCAAUAGUUGGCCUAGAAACUGUUUUUGUGCUUUUUUUGGUGAAGAAUGUGGCUACUUUUGCCCUUUUCUGAAGAACCUGCCUGAGGCUAAGGUAAAGAGAUUUCUAUUAAUUGCAUUGGCAAAGGAAGCCUCAAAAAAGCCCAGCAGAGACUUUAUUCUCUGGUUUAGUCCCAUGAAUAGCAUUUUGAUCAACUGUAGCAAGCUUUGGGAGAAAGAAUAUAAAAUGUAAGGUUCAAAGAACAAAGGGACACCAAGAAGAACAAUAGGGCGGAAUCUUAUGUUCCCGGAAAUAAACAGAUUAACAUAGUGGUGACCUCAGGACAAGAUCCCACCCAGCUUAUUGUUUAUGUGUUUGUAGUUGAGAAAGAAAUUGUUAAAUCAUGCUAGGCAUUAUUACUUGGUUAUGGUUUUCAUUUGGACUUUUAGUCUGUAAUGAACUACUAUCCAGAAACAUGAUGGAGUCAUGGAGAGCAGCUAAGGCUUGGCACUGUGAGAGCCCAGGAGAGGCCUGGUGAAGGUACAGCCUCAGUUGCAGUUGACAACCCAGGACUGGAAGGGUCAUGCAAAGAAGUUGAGGCUUGGCACCAUGAAGAGAGCCUAUGAGAGGUUAUUGGUGAAGUAUAGUUGCAACAGUAGACCCUAGUGUUUUGGAGAUGCCAAUAUCAAGAACAGCGGCAGCAGUGGAAUGGAGUCAACCAGAGUGCAUAGUUAGAGAUGUGACCCAAGCCAUUUGGAGGAGACCAGAAACUGGAACAAGAAGCUGUAAUGUUGAAGUUGUCUUGGAGACCCCAAGAUGUUCGAGGUGCCAGGGCUGUGGUAUACCUGCUGAGGAAAGCUGCUAACAGCAAGUGGAACCAUCCAAAGAGAACUGUGCUGCAGUCAACAAAGCAGAAAGGAGUUGGACAUUAGACACGGAGGUGAUGAGUUUGGAGUUUGUCCAGCUGAAUUUUGGUCUUGCUUUGGUCUAUUAUUUCCUCAUAUGAAGUUUUGAAAUGGUAAUGUAUAUCAUGUGAUGUUGGAGGUAUGUGAUCUGCUUUUUUGAUUCUGAGUUUAUAAGGAGUUCCUUUUAAGUAAUUAGAUGAACCUCAGAAGAGAGUUUUAACAUUGGAAUUUUAACAUUGUUGAGACUAUGAUAGACUAUGGGGUCUUUUGAAGUUGGACUCAAUGUAUUUUGCAUUAUGCUAUGUUUAGGUAUGGCCCCCACAGACUCAUGUGUUUGAACAAGCCUAUGGGACCAAGGAGUGGACUGUGUCGGUUUGAAUAUGCUUGGCCCAAGGAGUGGCACAAUUAGGAUGUGUAACUUUAUUGGAGUAGGUGUAGCCUCAUUGGAGGAAGAGUGUCACUGUGGGGAUGGGUUUUGAGACCCUCCCCCUAGCUGCCUGGAAGCCAGUGUCCACCUGUUUGCC
rnacentral:lncRNA from 1 species